CCUACGGGUGGCAGCAGUGGGGAAUAUUGGACAAUGGGCGAAAGCCUGAUCCAGCCAUGCCGCGUGUGUGAAGAAGGCCUUCGGGUUGUAAAGCACUUUCAGUGGGGAAGAAAGCCUUGGGGCUAAUACCCUCGAGGAAGGACAUCACCCACAGAAGAAGCACCGGCUGAACUCCGUGCCAGCAGCCGCGGUAAUACGGAGGGUGCGAGCGUUAAUCGGAAUUACUGGGCGUAAAGCGCGCGUAGGCGGUCUGAUAAGCCGGUUGUGAAAGCCCCGGGCUCAACCUGGGAACGGCAUCCGGAACUGUCAGGCUAGAGUGCAGGAGAGGAAGGUAGAAUUCCCGGUGUAGCGGUGAAAUGCGUAGAGAUCGGGAGGAAUACCAGUGGCGAAGGCGGCCUUCUGGACUGACACUGACGCUGAGGUGCGAAAGCGUGGGUAGCAAACAGGAUUAGAUACCCGGGUAGUC
rnacentral:rRNA from 1 species